rnacentral:rRNA from 1 species
AGCGGAGCGGCCGAUGACUGAUUAGCUAGUUGGUAAGGUAAAGGCUUACCAAGGCGACGAUCAGUAGCUGGUCUGAGAGGACGACCAGCCACACUGGGACUGAGACACGGCCCAGACUCCUACGGGAGGCAGCAGUGGGGAAUUUUGGACAAUGGGCGCAAGCCUGAUCCAGCUAUUCCGCGUGUGGGAAGACGGCCUUCGGGUUGUAAACCACUUUUGUAGAGAACGAAAAGUCUGUUGAUAAUACCGAUAGAUGAUGACGGUACUCUAAGAAUAAGCACCGGCUAACUACGUGCCAGCAGCCGCGGUAAUACGUAGGGUGCGAGCGUUAAUCGGAAUUACUGGGCGUAAAGGGUGUGCAGGCGGUUUUGCAAGAUGGAUGUGAAAGCCCCGGGCUUAACCUGGGAAAGCCAUACAUGACUGCAAGACUAGAGUGCGUCAGAGGGGGGUGGAAUUCCAAGUGUAGCAGUGAAAUGCGUAGAUAUUUGGAAGAACACCGAUGGCGAAGGCAGCCCCCUGGGACGCAACUGACGCUCAUACACGAAAGCGUGGGGAGCAAACAGGAUUAGA